UACAGAGGGGGCAAGCGUUAUUCGGAAUUAUUGGGCGUAAAGGGCGCGUAGGCGGCUUUGCAAGUGACGGGUGAAAGCCCUCGGCUUAACCGAGGAACUGCCUGUCAGACUGUGAGGCUUGAGACCAGGAGAGGUGAGUGGAAUUCCCAGUGUAGCGGUGAAAUGCGUAGAUAUUGGGAGGAACACCAGUGGCGAAGGCGGCGAUCUGGGCAGAUACUGACGCUGAGGUGCGAAAGCGUGGGGAGCAAACAGG
rnacentral:rRNA from 1 species